CCUACGGGUGGCAGCAGUGAGGAAUAUUGCACAAUGGGCGAGAGCCUGAUGCAGCAACGCCGCGUGAGCGAGGAAUGCCUUCGGGUCGGAAAGCUCUGUCCUCAAGGGAGAUAAUGACGGUCCUUGAGGAGGAAGCCACGGCUAACUACGUGCCAGCAGCCGCGGUAAUACGUAGGGGGCUAGCGUUAACCGGAAUUACUGGGUGUAAAGGGUGCGUAGGGGGUUUUUUAAGUCAGAGGUGAAAGGCUACGGCUCAACCGUAGUAAGCCUUUGAAACUGGGGAACUUGAGUGCAGGAGAGGUGAGUGGAAUUCCUGGUGUAGCGGUGAAAUGCGUAGAUAGUAGGAGGAACACCAGUUGCGAAGGCGGCUCUCUGGACUGUAACUGACACUGAGGCACGAAAGCGUGGGGAGCAAACAGGAUUAGAUACCCGUGUAGUC
rnacentral:rRNA from 1 species